rnacentral:rRNA from 1 species
UCGGACGGGGUGAGUAACGCGUGAGAAUCUAGCUUCAGGUUCGGGACAACAUUGGGAAACCGAUGCUAAUACCGGAUGUGCCGAGAGGUGAAAGGCUUGCUGCCUGAAGAAGAGCUCGCGUCUGAUUAGCUAGUUGGUGGUGUAAGGGACUACCAAGGCGACGAUCAGUAGCUGGUCUGAGAGGAUGAUCAGCCACACUGGAACUGAGACACGGUCCAGACUCCUACGGGAGGCAGCAGUGGGGAAUUUUCCGCAAUGGGCGAAAGCCUGACGGAGCAAUACCGCGUGAGGGAGGAAGGCUCUUGGGUUGUAAACCUCUUUUCUCAAGGAAGAAGUAAUGACGGUACUUGAGGAAUCAGCAUCGGCUAACUCCGUGCCAGCAGCCGCGGUAAUACGGAGGAUGCAAGCGUUAUCCGGAAUGAUUGGGCGUAAAGCGUCCGCAGGUGGUUGUGUGUGUCUAUUGUCAAAGCAUCAUGCUUAACAUGAUAAAGGCAGUAGAAACUACACGACUAGAGUGCGUUCGGGGCAGAGGGAAUUCCUGGUGUAGCGGUGAAAUGCGUAGAGAUCAGGAAGAACACCGGUGGCGAAAGCGCUCUGCUAGGCCGCAACUGACACUGAGGGACGAAAGCUAGGGGAGCGAAUGGGAUUAGAUACCCAGAUAGUCACGCGUUAU